GUGCAGGAUAAGUUACAAUGCAGCUUGUUUGGUGCUGCUUUGUCGUUCCCCCUGCAGAUAGUAACCUGUUUCCUCGCUAUACCUGUCAGUCACUAUCUUGACUGCCAGGGACGUAAGGUUUCAGACAC